rnacentral:rRNA from 1 species
AGUGAACGCUGGCGGCGUGCCUAAUACAUGCAAGUCGAACGAAGUGGCGCACGGGUGAGUAAUAUAUAGUUAAUCUGCCCUACACAGAGGAACAACAGUUGGAAACGACUGCUAAUACCUCAUAGUGUAGGAUGAGACUAUAUCGUAUCAGCGAGUUGGUACGGUAAUGGCUUACCAAGGCUAUGACGCGUAACUGGUCUUAGAGGAUGAUCAGUCACAUGUGAACUGAGACACGGUCAAAAUUCCAACGGGAGGUAGCCGUAAGGAAUAUUGCGAAAUGGGUGAAGCCAUGACGCAGCAACGCCGCGUGGAAGAUGACAAUUUUCGGAGCGAAAACUCCUUUUAUCAGGAAAGCGGUACCUGAUGAAUAAGCACCGGCUAACUCCGUGCCAGCAUCCGCGGUAAUUC